AAUGAACGCUGGCGGCAGGCCUAACACAUGCAAGUCGAACGGAUCCUUCGGGAUUAGUGGCGGACGGGUGAGUAACGCGUGGGAACAUACCCAAAGGUACGGAAUAGCCUCGGGAAACUGGGAGUAAUACCGUAUGUGCUCGAAAGAGGAAAGAUUUAUCGCCUUUGGAUUGGCCCGCGUUGGAUUAGGUAGUUGGUGGGGUAAUGGCCUACCAAGCCGACGAUCCAUAGCUGGUUUGAGAGGAUGAUCAGCCACACUGGGACUGAGACACGGCCCAGACUCCUACGGGAGGCAGCAGUGGGGAAUCUUAGACAAUGGGGGAAACCCUGAUCUAGCCAUGCCGCGUGAUCGGUGAAGGCCUUAGGGUUGUAAAGAUCUUUCAGGUGGGAAGAUAAUGACUGUACCACCAGAAGAAGCCCCGGCUAACUCCGUGCCAGCAGCCGCGGUAA
rnacentral:rRNA from 1 species